rnacentral:rRNA from 1 species
GAUGAACGCUGGCGGCGUGCUUAACACAUGCAAGUCGAACGGUGAAGCAGAGCUUGCUCUGUGGAUCAGUGGCGAACGGGUGAGUAACAGGUGGGAAACCUGCCCUGGAUUCUGGGAUAGGCGCUGGAAACGGCGCUUAUUACUGGAUACGAGACGUGCCGGAAUGGUAAAGGUUUGGAAAGAUUUUUUGGUUCAGGAUGGGCUCGCGGCCUAUCAGCUUGUUGGUGAGGUAAUGGCUCACCAAGGCGUCGACGGGUAGCCGGCCUGAGAGGGUGACCGGCCACACUGGGACUGAGACACGGCCCAGACUCCUACGGGAGGCAGCAGUGGGGAAUAUUGCACAAUGGGCGAAAGCCUGAUGCAGCAACGCCGCGUGAGGGAUGACGGCCUUCGGGUUGUAAACCUCUUUUAGCAAGGAAGAAGCGAAAGUGACGGUACUUGCAGAAAAAGCGCCGGCUAACUACGUGCCAGCAGCCGCGGUAACAC